rnacentral:rRNA from 1 species
GUCCUUUUGAAUUUAAUUUAAGGUUUAACCUGCCCACUGAAAUUUUUUGAAGGGCCGCAGUAAUUUGACUGUGCAAAGGUAGCAUAAUCAUUAGUUUUUUAAUUGAAAGCUUGUAUGAAGGGUUGGACGAGGUAAAUUCUGUCUCUAAAUAAUUUAAUUUAGAAUUUAAUUUUUAAGUUAAAAAGCUUAAAUAAUUUUAAAAGACGAGAAGACCCUAUAGAUCUUUAUAUUAUAUUUAUUAAUUUUAAUCAGGAUUUAUUUAUUUUUUAGUAAUUUUAAUAUUUUAUUGGGGUAAUAAAAAGAUUAAUUUAAUUCUUUUUUAAUAUUUUCAUUAAUAAGUGAAUUUAUGAUCCAAUUUUUUUGAUUAGAAGAUUAAGUUACCUUAGGGAUAACAGCGUAAUUUUUUUAGAGAGUUCAUAUCGAUAAAAAAGUUUGCGACCUCGAUGUUGGAUUAAAAGUUAUUUUAGGUGUAGUAGUUUAAAAUUUUGGUCUGUUCGACCAUUAAAUUUUU